ACAAAAACUCGGGGUAUUUUUCCCUCCACUCUUUAUUUACACCUGCUAUUUUUAAUAUCAUAAUUUUAAAAAUAAAAAAAAAUAACUGAGAAAAUCACUUUUGUAGGGUUAGGUUCCCCAUUUCAUUCACUUUGGUCUUCUUGAGAAAAUCAGUAAAUUGCAGCGGUUCCCCCAUUUCAAUUAAGAAAGUUUUUGUUUUGCCAAAAACUUAGUUGGGUCGAUUCUUGAGGGCUUGGAUCGAUUGGUAACUUGAGGUUUGUUCUUGAGUAAAUUGCAGCCUUGGAUGUCAAAAUCAACUUUCAGGCUAUUUAAUGGGUAUUGGAGAUAGAAGUUGGAUGUAUCUCUCAAGAUCUGCCGAUGAGUACGAAAAUGGAGUCAAGGAUUUUCUCAAUAAGGCAUUUGAACGAGCAUCUCUAGGAAAUGAAAUAUUAUGCCCCUGCAGAUUAUGCUUUAAUCUCUAUUGGCAUUAUCGAGAUGUGGUGGAGAAUCAUUUGUUUGGUCAUGGAUUUGAUCCUAAUUACACUCAAUGGGUUUUCCAUGGAGACGGAGUUUCAUCAACAAAUAUUCCACCUCCAAGUCAUGAAGGGCAUGAAGGAGUAAGCCAUGGACUAUCUGAUGACCAACAUGAUGAUAUUGAUAAACUACUUCAUGAUACUUUUAGAAAUGUAGAAGAUGAGUAGAGGCAUGAAGGACAUGGAGGAGUAAGACGGGGACUAUCUGAAGAUGUUAAGCAAUUUUUUAAAUUAGUAGAGGAAGGAAAAUAAUAUUUAUAUCCGGGGUGUAAGAAUUUUUCUAAGAUGAGUUUCACCAUCCGAUUGUACUUGUUUAAAUGCAUUCACGGGCUGAGUAGUAUAGCUUUCUCAGACUUGCUAGACUUGAUGAAAGAGGCUUUUCCAUUCGCUCAGAUUUUCGAGUCUUUCCACAAAGCAAGAAAGGUGAUAAGAGAUUUGGGUCUCAAUUAUGAAAAGAUUCAUUCAUGUCCUAAUGAUUGCAUAUUUUUCUGGAAUGAUAAUUCAAAUCUCGAUAAUUACGUUGUGUGUGGGUCUUCUAGAUGGAAGAAUGUUGUAACACCCCGUAUUUUUGAUCUAGAAAGAAAACCAUCAUUCCUAUGUGUGUAAGCUCUAAUUCCAUGGUUUAUAUUUAAAUUCA